rnacentral:rRNA from 1 species
UAGGGAAUAUUGCGCAAUGGACGAAAGUCUGACGCAGCGACGCCGCGUGGGUGAAGAAGGUCUUUUGAUUGUAAAGCCCUGUGAGGGGGGACGAAAGAUUCAAACAUGACGGUACCCCCAGAGGAAGGACCGGCUAAACACGUGCCAGCAGCCGCGGUAAUACGUGUGGUCCAAGCGUUGUCCGGAAUGACUGGGCGUAAAGGGUGCGUAGGCGGAUGCAUAAGUCAGGUGUGAAAUCCCCGAGCUCAACUUGGGAAGUGCGCUUGAAACUAUGCAUCUCGAGACUGUCAGGGGUAGGCGGAAUUCCCGGAGUAGCGGUGAAAUGCGUAGAUAUCGGGAAGAACACCGGUGGCGAAGGCGGCCUACUGGGGCAGUUCUGACGCUGAGGCACGAAAGCGUGGGGAG